rnacentral:rRNA from 1 species
CAGGGUUUGAUCCUGGCUCAGAUUGAACGCUGGCGGCAGGCCUAACACAUGCAAGUCGAGCGGAUGAAGGGAGCUUGCUCCUGGAUUCAGCGGCGGACGGGUGAGUAAUGCCUAGGAAUCUGCCUGGUAGUGGGGGAUAACGUCCGGAAACGGGCGCUAAUACCGCAUACGUCCUGAGGGAGAAAGUGGGGGAUCUUCGGACCUCACGCUAUCAGAUGAGCCUAGGUCGGAUUAGCUAGUUGGUGGGGUAAAGGCCUACCAAGGCGACGAUCCGUAACUGGUCUGAGAGGAUGAUCAGUCACACUGGAACUGAGACACGGUCCAGACUCCUACGGGAGGCAGCAGUGGGGAAUAUUGGACAAUGGGCGAAAGCCUGAUCCAGCCAUGCCGCGUGUGUGAAGAAGGUCUUCGGAUUGUAAAGCACUUUAAGUUGGGAGGAAGGGCAGUAAGUUAAUACCUUGCUGUUUUGACGUUACCAACAGAAUAAGCACCGGCUAACUUCGUGCCAGCAGCCGCGGUAAUACGAAGGGUGCAAGCGUUAAUCGGAAUUACUGGGCGUAAAGCGCGCGUAGGUGGUUCAGCAAGUUGGAUGUGAAAUCCCCGGGCUCAACCUGGGAACUGCAUCCAAAACUACUGAGCUAGAGUACGGUAGAGGGUGGUGGAAUUUCCUGUGUAGCGGUGAAAUGCGUAGAUAUAGGAAGGAACACCAGUGGCGAAGGCGACCACCUGGACUGAUACUGACACUGAGGUGCGAAAGCGUGGGGAGCAAACAGGAUUAGAUACCCUGGUAGUCCACGCCGUAAACGAUGUCGACUAGCCGUUGGGAUCCUUGAGAUCUUAGUGGCGCAGCUAACGCGAUAAGUCGACCGCCUGGGGAGUACGGCCGCAAGGUAAAACUCAAAGGAAUUGACGGG